CCUACGGGAGGCAGCAGUGGGGAAUCUUAGACAAUGGGGGCAACCCUGAUCUAGCCAUGCCGCGUGAGUGAUGAAGGCCUUAGGGUUGUAAAGCUCUUUCAGCUGGGAAGAUAAUGACGGUACCAGCAGAAGAAGCCCCGGCUAACUCCGUGC
rnacentral:rRNA from 1 species